UAAGUGAUAUAGAGCAAAACCCUAAAAACGGUACUCAGUUCGGAUUGAAGGCUGAAAUUCGCCUUCAUGAAGCUGGAAUUGCUAGUAAUGGCAGGUCAGCAUACUGCCGUGAAUACGUUCCCGGGCCUUGUACACACCGCCCGUCACACCAUGAGAGUUGGGAAUACCCGAAGCCUGUGAGCUAACUUUUAGAGGCAGCAGUCGAAGGUAGAAUCAAUGAUUGGGGUGAAGUCGUAACAAGGUAAC
rnacentral:rRNA from 1 species